AAGAAGGGAGAGAAACCGUUCUCCCAUGGGUCUCAAACCCCCACAUUUCACACGUCUUUCCCAUUCCAAGGCAGCUGCCUCCACAUCACAGCUGUGCCGCCACCACAGCCCGCUGCUUGCCCCACCUCAGGCAGAGGGAGCCUGGCUUCAGCUUCUGAGGGAUCUGCCUCCUGGCCAGCGGUGGUCACUCCAGACCUGGGACCCAGAAGCACGGAAGCCCGCGUGGCUUCCAUGAGAUGUGGAGUUUUGUUCUACCAUGUUCUCCCUUCCAGGAUGUGGUAUCUGACCACAGGCCCAAAAGCAAUGGGGGCAACUAACUGGGCCUCGUGGACCAAAGCAGUAAACCAAUAUAAACAUUUUCUCCUUUAGGUAGAUUUUUCUCAGGUAUUUUGCCACAGUGACAGAAAGUCAACACACAACCUCCCUUAGUUUUCUUCCAGAUAAAUAUCUCCAGUCCAUCUAUCACUUUGACUUUUUUCCUAGUGCUUUCCCCAUUCUGACCAUUCCAGUUGCAAAACAUCUAUCUCCAGUGUAGCCUCAGAACUGAAUACUUCUAGUCCAUAGAAGCUUGUCCAGCUUCAUUCUUUCACUUAAUGCAACUUGACCUAGAUGCAUGAUAGAUAUCACACCUAUGAUUAGGCCAUAGGGAAAAGUUAAAGUUUUGCAAACAUAAUUAAAGUCCCAAAUUACAUGGUUUUGAGUAAAGAAAAAAAAAGGGAAUUAUCCUGGAUGGGCCUGACUUGAUAAAGGUAAAGGAUCAUAAACAAUGAACUGAGCUCUCCAGGAGAGAGACACUUGCUGCUGACAGUGAAGAAACAAUUGACCAUGUUGUGAACUGCCUGUGGAGAGGGGUUGUUCUCUAGGAGCCAGACAUCAGUCCUACUACCUCAAGAAUUCUACCAUCAACGUGAAUGAGCUUGGAAGAGGACUAAAAGCACCAGGUGUGAACACAUCUUGAUGACAGCCUUUUGAAUUCCUAAGAACCUCAAGAACCCAGGUACACCCAGACUCCGGACACACAGAAACAAUGAGAUACAACAUCAUGGAUUGCAUUCACAUUUCAUCAUGAUAAAUUAAAUAUCAACUAUGUUUAUAGGUGCCUUUGUUAAAUCCACCUUCUUCCACCCAGUAUCUUUGUUAUUUUUAAUAAAUUCCAUAAUUUUGUUUCAACCGUGA